AUGUGUGUACCAAAAAAUCAAGGAGGUAUGGGUUUUAGAGAUAUACAUUGUUUCAACUUGGCUUUGUUAGCUAAACAGGCAUGGCGCCUGAUUGAUAAUCCCGAGUCCUUAUGUGCAUCGAUUUUGAGGGCUAAAUAUUUCCCGGAAGGGGAUUUAAUGAAUGCAAAACGAAGAAAGGGCUCCUCUUUUACUUGGCAAAGUAUUAUGGCGGGAGUAAACUCGCUUAAAAAUGGUUAUAUCUGGCGGGUUGAAAUGGACAAAAUAUUGAUAUUUGGAGAGAUGCAUGGAUCCCGAACUGUGUGA
rnacentral:rRNA from 1 species